rnacentral:rRNA from 1 species
CAACAGAGGGAGGCAAAGCCGCGAGGCAGAGCAAACCCCUAAAAAGCCAUCCCAGUUCGGAUUGCAGGCUGCAACCCGCCUGUAUGAAGUUGGAAUCGCUAGUAAUCGCGGAUCAGCAUGCCGCGGUGAAUACGUUCCCGGGCCUUGUACACACCGCCCGUCACACCAUGAGAGUCGGGAACACCCGAAGUCCGUAGCCUAACCGCAAGGAGGGCGCGGCCGAAGGUGGGUUCGAUAAUUGGGGUGAAGUCGUAACAAGGUACC